GUUUCAAUUCAAUUUUAUUCAAUUUCCAAAAUUCCAAAACCAUUCAUAAUUUAUUCCAUCAUACAUUUCAAACGUUCCCAUUACAAUUUCAAAGCCAUAAUUCAAAAUAAGCAUUUAAUUUGCAACUCUAAACUACAAAUUUACAACUAAAAGAGGCUAUGAAAGUAUUGGAGUUUCUAAUGUUCAGUUUUCUAACAAUCUUACAUACAAGGAUAAGAAUUCAACUAAGAUUUGUAAUGGAGAAACACCAUAGGAAUUCUAAGCCAAGGCCAACAAACAUAUCAUCAAUCUUAAAAAAAACACUUCAACUACUACAAGAAAUAAGAAUAAUUUUGACCGAGAUGCAGGCUUGAAUAAUAUUAGUGACUUGUUAGAAAUAUAAGUUCAUUUGCUCAACAAUCUAAUCUGCGGGAAAACACUUUGGAGACCAAGAAGUAAAGUCACACAAGAUCAACUUCUAAAAAUUCUAAUGGAUUUGCACAUUCAGAUGAAAAGCUUGAUACUGUUAUUGAAGUAGAAAAGAAAGCUGCACGUGACUUAAUUCGGGGAAAUAAGAAAGGUAGAGCCUUGCUCGCAUUAAAGAAAAAGAGACACAAGAAGAACUGUUGAAGCAAGUUGAUACUUGCCUUAUAAAUGUUGAGCUACAAUUAGCAGAUAUUGAACUGAGCAAACUUUUAACCAACUUCUCACUCCUGACCAGAAUCCCCCAAACUCCAUCUAAACCUUCCAUAAGACCCCUUUUAACUCACUUCACCACGGCCUCAAUUCCCAACCGAAUUCGACCUCGCCAACCUACACACACAAAAAAAUAGAAUCGCAAAUACUCCACUUCAUAACUGACAUAACAUAAAUCCAGCAUCCAAAUGGAUUUCAUUCUUCAAACUGAUAACAUAACCUCUCAAAGGCCCAAGCGUUCCCAUCCUGUGCACACCCUAAUCUGUUUUACACCCCCAAGCUGGCCCAUAUUCAUGUUGAUCCCCAUUAAUCAUGAUUAGGCCCUAUUUAAUCUUUUAGUCCUAAUUUUUUAAAAUCUUGAUGUUGUUUUGUUGGUCUUGAUUAGAAUUAGGAUUACUCAUAAUUUCUUUUUUAGAAGGAUUAGGAUUAAUUCUUGAUUUUGUUAAUUAG
rnacentral:lncRNA from 1 species